AUUGAACGCUGGCGGCAGGCCUAACACAUGCAAGUCGAACGAGUGGCGGACUGGUGAGUAAUGUCUGGGAACCUGCCUGAUGGCGGGGGAUAACUACUGGAAACGGUGGCUAAUACCGCAUACCAUCGGAUGUGCCCCUAUCGGAUUAGCUAGUAGGUGGGGUAAAGGCUCACAAAGGCGACGAUCCCUAGCUGGUCUGAGAGGAGGACCAGCCACACGGGAACUGAGACACGGUCCAGACUCCUACGGGAGGCAGCAGUGGGGAAUAGUGGACAAUGGGGGAAAGCCUGAUCCAGCCAUGCCGCGUGUAUGAAGAAGGCCUUCGGGUUGUAAAGUACUUUUGGCGGGGAAGCGGUACCCGCAGAAGAAGCACCGGCUAACUCCGUGCCAGCAGCCGCGGUAAUAC
rnacentral:rRNA from 1 species